rnacentral:rRNA from 1 species
UACGUAGGGGGCAAGCGUUAUCCGGAUUCACUGGGUGUAAAGGGAGCGUAGACGGCCAUGCAAGCCAGGGGUGAAAGCCCGGGGCCCAACCCCGGGACUGCCCUUGGAACUGCAUGGCUGGAGUGCAGGAGGGGCAGGCGGAAUUCCUGGUGUAGCGGUGAAAUGCGUAGAUAUCAGGAGGAACACCGGCGGCGAAGGCGGCCUGCUGGACUGCGACUGACGCUGAGGCUCGAAAGCGUGGGGAGCGAACAGG